rnacentral:rRNA from 1 species
ACGAACGCUGGCGGCGUGCUUCACACAUGCAAGUCGAACGGAAAGGCCCUGCUUGCAGGGUACUCGAGUGGCGAACGGGUGAGUAACACGUGGGUGAUCUGCCCUGCACUUCGGGAUAAGCCUGGGAAACUGGGUCUAAUACCGGAUAGGAGCCAUUUUUAGUGUGAUGGUUGGAAAGUUUUUUCGGUGUAGGAUGAGCUCGCGGCCUAUCAGCUUGUUGGUGGGGUAAUGGCCUACCAAGGCGGCGACGGGUAGCCGGCCUGAGAGGGUGGACGGCCACAUUGGGACUGAGAGACGGCCCAGACUCCUACGGGAGGCAGCAGUGGGGAAUAUUGCACAAUGGGCGCAAGCCUGAUGCAGCGACGCCGCGUGGGGGAGGACGGCCUUCGGGUUGUAAACUCCUUUCGCUAGGGACGAAGCUUUUUGUGACGGUACCUAGAGAAGAAGCACCGGCUAACUACGUG